GAUGAAGAACGUAGUAAAAUGCGAUAAGUAGUGUGAAUUGCAGAAUUCAGUGAAUCAUCGAGUCUUUGAACGCACAUUGCGCCCCCUGGUAUUCCGGGGGGCAUGCCUGUCCGAGCGUCAUUGCUGCCCUCAAGCACGGCUUGUGUGUUGGGCCUCCGUCCUCCUCCCGGGGGACGGGCCCGAAAGGCAGCGGCAGCACCGCGUCCGGUCCUCGAGCGUAUGGGGCUUCGUCACCCGCUCUUGUAGGCCCGGCCGGCGCUUGCCGACACAUCAAUCUUUUUUCCAGGUUGACCUCGGAUCAGGUAGGGAUACCCGCUGAACUUAAGCAUAUCAAUAAGCGGAGGA
rnacentral:misc_RNA from 1 species